AUGGCUAGGAUUAACUAUGGUGUCAUAUCCCCGAUCCCCAAAGUAGUUGGGGUGACGGAUAUUCGGCACUUCCGCCCCAUCAUGGUGAUCAACGUGUUGGAGUGAAUCUUUGUGAAGGUUUGCGCAACUCGCUCAUCCCUGGUGGUAGAAAGGAUUGCCCACCCCCUCCAGUCUGCAUUCCUGAAGGGACGGCGGAUCCAUGACGGUAUCCUCGCCCUUCGCGACAUCGUCCACGAGGUGGCGUCGAAGGGGCUUAAGGGGGUCUUCCUCAAAUUGGACUUUUAGAAGGCGUAUGACCGGCUGGAUUGGUCCUUUUUGAGGUUGGUGAUGGAACAACGCGGCUUUGACGAGAGGUGGUGUUCCUGGAUCAUGCAACUGGUUAGAUCUGGGAACACGGCGAUCAACAUCAAUGGCAAAGUGGGACCUUUUUUCCAGGCUUCCAGAGGGGUAAAGCAAGGGGACCCUGUCUCCUCCUUGCUUUUCAACCUUGCAAUUGAUGCCCUUGCAGGCAUCUUAGAUAAGGCCAAGUUGGCCGGCCACCUUAAGGGUGUAGUUAGUCACCUCAUCCCAGAUGGGGGGGGGGUAUGCACUUGCAGUAUGUAG
rnacentral:rRNA from 1 species